rnacentral:rRNA from 1 species
GACAGAGGGUGCAAACGUUGUUCGGAAUUACUGGGCGUAAAGCGCGUGUAGGCUGCUUCGCAAGUCGGGUGUGAAAGCCCUGGGCUCAACCUAGGAAGUGCACUCGAAACUGCGGAGCUGGAGUCCUGGAGAGGAAGGCGGAAUUCUCGGUGUAGAGGUGAAAUUCGUAGAUAUCGGGAAGAACACCCGUGGCGAAGGCGGCUCUCUGGGACGGUACUGACGCUGAGACGCGAAAGCGUGGGGAGCGAACAGG